UUCGUUGCUUCUCAUUAUUAUUAUUAUUCGUGUACAACUAUUUAAUUUACAAAAACUUUAAACACAGGCAAACGGGGCGUUUAAUGGAAAAAAAAAAAAAAACCCCAAACCCUGCGCCUCCUGCCUCCACCGCUCGAUGAGGCUCCCUCUCCGUUACAGAACUUCUCACUUUCCAUUACCUCACCGUAACCCCUCUCAAGAUCUCUUCUACUGGCAGACGGUGAGUCUAUCCUCCUUCUUCGUCGUGGAUUGAAUCCGACUUUCGUUCACCAGGUUCCAACGUCUUCCUCUGAUCUAUGAUGAUGAUCCUUGGAUCCGAACCACAUAUUUUACGCCAAGUGGGGACAUUGGUCGGUGUAGUUCUUAUAGAGUUUCAAUCCCACCCCGCCAUGGUGUCAAGUGGAGAAGGACAAUGGAAUAUCUUAAAGAACAAAGAGUGCACGAGAUCUACCUUGACAAGCCACUUAGGAUCAGGGAUGAACCUGAAUUUGGGCUGCCCUUAUCAGAUCCUUUCUUCUGUAUUCAGUACAAGCAAGGGAUAGCUUUUGAGAUAGUGUUCUUGGUGAAUGCUGUCUGGCGCAUAUUCAGUCAGCACCAGUUGUCAGACAAUUUCUUCAAUUUAUUGAGUAGCCAACCCAAAGAGGUCAACAUUGCUGCACUAAAGUACAUAUGUUCUUACAGACGCCUGGUGUUCGAUGCCCUCAGGAGUUAGGAGGCUGAAAACGGUUCAGGAUUGGUUGUUGCGGAAUCCCAAGCUUUUUAAGAGCCCUAGACAGCUUGACGAUAUUGUUGAAGUUAGGAGGUUGGUCAUUACACCAACAAAAGCAUAUUGUCUUCCACCAGAAGUGGAGCUUUCCAACAGAGUUCUCAGGAAGUAUAAAGGAGUUGCUGAUAGGUUUUUAAGGGUCACUUAUAUGGAUGAAGGAAUGCAGACAAUGAAUUCCAAUGUUCUUAACAGCUACGUCUCAUCUAUUGUAAAGCUUAUCACAUCAAACUCUUAUCCACAAAAAACAAAAAAUAUUCCAAAGGGUGAAUAGCAUUUUGAAAAGUGGAUUUCAUGUUU